GGAGUUCAGUGGUAGAGCAUCUGAUUUCCAUGGCAAAGGUCCCAUGUUCAAUCCCUGGCAUCUGCA